rnacentral:snRNA from 1 species
UUGUAUGGGUUUAGAUACACU